rnacentral:rRNA from 1 species
ACCGGCUAACUCCGUGCCAGCAGCCGCGGUAAGUACGGAGGGUGCGAGCGUUAAUCGGAAUUACUGGGCGUAAAGCGCAUGCAGGCGGCCUGUUAAGUCAGAUGUGAAAGCCCGGGGCUUAACCUCGGAAUUGCAUUUGUAAACUGGCAGGCUAGAGUCUUGUAGAGGGGGGUAGGAAGUUUCAGGUGUAGCGGUGAAAUGCGUAGAGAUCUGAAGGAAUACCAGUGGCGAAGGCGGCCCCCCUCGGACAAAGACUGACGCUCAGAUGCGAAAGCGUGGGGAGCAAACAGGAUUAGAUACCCCUGGUAG